AUACUGUGAAACUGCGAAUGGCUCAUUAAAUCAGUUAUCGUUUAUUUGAUAGUACCUUACUACUUGGAUAACCGUGGUAAUUCUAGAGCUAAUACAUGCUGAAAACCCCCACUUCGGGAGGGGUGUAUUUAUUAGAUAAAAAACCAACGCCCUUCGGGGCUUCUUGGUGAUUCAUGAUAACUUUACAGAUCGCAUGGCCUUGCGCCGGCGACGGUUCAUUCAAAUUUCUGCCCUAUCAACUUUCGAUGGUAAGGUAUUGGCUUACCAUGGUUUCAACGGGUAACGGGGAAUUAGGGUUCGAUUCCGGAGAGGGAGCCUGAGAAACGGCUACCACAUCCAAGGAAGGCAGCAGGCGCGCAAAUUACCCAAUCCCGACACGGGGAGGUAGUGACAAUAAAUACUGAUACAGGGCUCUUUUGGGUCUUGUAAUUGGAAUGAGUACAAUUUAAACCUCUUAACGAGGAACAAUUGGAGGGCAAGUCUGGUGCCAGCAGCCGCGGUAAUUCCAGCUCCAAUAGCGUAUAUUAAAGUUGUUGCAGUUAAAAAGCUCGUAGUUGAAACUUGGGUCUGGCUGGCAGGUCCGCCUCACCGCGUGUACUUGUCCGGCCGGGCCUUCCUUCUGGAGAACCUCAUGCCCUUCACUGGGCGUGUUGGGGACCAGGACUUUUACUUUGAAAAAAUUAGAGUGUUCAAAGCAGGCCUUUGCUCGAAUACGUUAGCAUGGAAUAAUAGAAUAGGACGUGCGGUCCUAUUUUGUUGGUUUCUAGGACCGCCGUAAUGAUUAAUAGGGACAGUCGGGGGCAUCAGUAUUCAAUUGUCAGAGGUGAAAUUCUUGGAUUUAUUGAAGACUAACUACUGCGAAAGCAUUUGCCAAGGAUGUUUUCAUUAAUCAGUGAACGAAAGUUAGGGGAUCGAAGACGAUCAGAUACCGUCGUAGUCUUAACCGUAAACUAUGCCGACUAGGGAUCGGGCGAUGUUCUUUUUCUGACUCGCUCGGCACCUUACGAGAAAUCAAAGUUUUUGGGUCUGGGG
rnacentral:rRNA from 1 species